rnacentral:rRNA from 1 species
AGCGAACGCUGGCGGCAGGCCUAACACAUGCAAGUCGAACGAUCCUUCGGGAUAGUGGCGGACGGGUGAGUAACACGUGGGAACGUGCCCUUUGGUUCGGAACAACUCAGGGCAACUUGAGCUAAUACCGAAUGUGCCCUUCGGGGGAAAGAUGUAUCGCCAUUGGAGCGGGCCGCGUCUGAUUAGCUAGUUGGUGAGGGAAUGGCUCACCAAGGCGACGGUAAGUAGCUGGUCUGAGAGGAUGAUCAGCCACACUGGGACUGAGACACGGCCCAGACUCCUACGGUAGGCAGCAGUGGGGAGUCUUGCGCAAUGGGCGAGAGCCUGACGCAGCCAUGCCGCGUGAAUGAUGAAGGUCUUAGGAUUGUAAAAUUCUUUCACCGGGGACGAUAAUGACGGUACCCGGAGAAGAAGCUCCGGCUAACUUCGUGCCAGCCGCCGCCGUAACAC